rnacentral:tmRNA from 1 species
GGGGUUGACAGGAAUUGACAGCAUCGUUCAUUGACAGGUAAGCAUGCAGAGCAUUGUAAGUUGGCUCUUUAAUAUCAACUUACGAAACAAAUUUUAAAUGGCGAAUCUAACUUCGCAAUCGCUGCCUAAUUCAAGGUAAUUAGAUAGCUUUCGUUCUUUAUAGAGUUUGUCUUAUACUUUAUAUCUGAACGUCGAAACAUAAGGCUGGUUUUGCAAAGCUCCGGUGCAAAAUAAGAAAAAGGAGAUAAGAAUAUUUUAAUGGUAAGAUAUAGCACCUGAAAUAUUUCGAAAACCAAGAAAUGUCUAAGCAUGUAGAAAGCUUGCUAAUGCCUUGUCUGGACGAGGGUUCAAAUCCCUCCAACUCCACAA